rnacentral:tRNA from 1 species
GCCUUCGUGGUGUAACGGUAGCACAUUCGGCGUGUAUUCGAGAGGUCCAGGGUUCCAGUCUCGGCGAUGGCC